rnacentral:misc_RNA from 1 species
GAUGAAGAACGUAGUGAAAUGCGAUAAGUAGUGUGAAUUGCAGAAUUCAGUGAAUCAUCGAAUCUUUGAACGCACAUUGCGCCUUCUAGUAUUCUGGGAGGCAUGCCUGUUUGAGCGUCAUUAAACCUCUCUCAAGUAUGAUUACUUGGAUGUUAAGGAAGAGUACCUUAAACUUAAGGAGUGUUCUCCUUUGAAAUUGAUUAGCAGAUGGUAAUGUUAUUAAAUCCCUGAUGUUGUAAGAAAUAACAGUGGUUUUGUAGACUAUUAUCUAGCUUUAAAUUAUAAUUUUUAUUAUGGUUGACCUCAAAUCAGGUAAGGAUACCCGCUGAACUUAAGCAUAUCAAUAAGCGGAGGA